CAACCUGCCUAUAACUAGGGAAUAACCUUGCGAAAGUAAGACUAAUACCCUAUGAUUUCCUUUGAUGGCAUCAGAUUAGGAAUAAAGAUUUAUCAGUUAUAGAUGGGGAUGCGUCUGAUUAGCUUGUUGGCGGGGUAACGGCCCACCAAGGCAACGAUCAGUAGGGGUUCUGAGAGGAAGGUCCCCCACAUUGGAACUGAGACACGGUCCAAACUCCUACGGGAGGCAGCAGUGAGGAAUAUUGGUCAAUGGGCGGAAGCCUGAACCAGCCAAGUAGCGUGCAGGAUGACGGCCCUAUGGGUUGUAAACUGCUUUUAUACAGGAAUAAAGUUAGCCACGUGUGGUUAUUUGUAGGUACUGUAUGAAUAAGGACCGGCUAAUUCCGUGCCAGCAGCCGCGGUAAUACGGAAGGUCCAGGCGUUAUCCGGAUUUAUUGGGUUUAAAGGGAGCGUAGGCCGUCUGUUAAGCGUGUUGUGAAAUGUAGAUGCUCAACAUCUGAAUUGCAGCGCGAACUGGCAGACUUGAGCGUGCGCAACGUAGGCGGAAUUCGUGGUGUAGCGGUGAAAUGCUUANAUAUCACGAANAACUCCGAUUG
rnacentral:rRNA from 1 species